rnacentral:rRNA from 1 species
CAGUAGCCGCGGGAAAACGGAGGGUGCAAGCGUUAAUCGGAUUUACUGGGCGUAAAGCGUGCGUAGGCGGCUUUUUAAGUCGGAUGUGAAAUCCCUGAGCUUAACUUAGGAAUUGCAUUCGAUACUGGGAAGCUAGAGUAUGGGAGAGGAUGGUAGAAUUCCAGGUGUAGCGGUGAAAUGCGUAGAGAUCUGGAGGAAUACCGAUGGCGAAGGCAGCCAUCUGGCCUAAUACUGACGCUGAGGUACGAAAGCAUGGGGAGCAAACAGGAUUAGAUACCCCAGUAGUCCCUGUCUCUUAUAA